CGGCGCUCACCACACGGCGGCGGGCCGUUCUCCUCUCGAUGGUCCCGGCACAACAUGGCGGUCGCCGGCCGAGCCGGACCUUGAGCGCUGCGUCCCUCGUUCCGCCCGCGGGGCCGAGGCCGCCGGGGACACAGCUCGGCCCGGCCCUCCAUGCACGGAAGCUGUUGUGAAAGAAACCAACUAUGAAGGGUCCGAGGAGUUCGUGCUGCCUGUUCCCACAAUUACUAACAAGUAAGUGCUAUGUGAUACCACAGGUUGGAGAUAGACUUGGCUUCUAUUAAUGACAGUUGUCACACAGGUGUGAGGAACUCUUUAAUAAUUGCAGACAGAUCUCGGGGAUGAUGGACUGCUGCUCUCUGCUCCUUGGUGCAUCCCUGCUCAACCUUCAGCUUCACAAGAAAUUCUCAAAGAACUGAUGGAGGAAUCCUUAGAAACAAACAACUGGAAGUAUGAUUCAACCGCCCUUGGGGUUUUUGUCCCCUUCAGACCUGAGCUGUGAAUAUGAACCUUUAGAGUGCUGUUACUCUGAAGAACCUCAAGGAGCGAUACCCAUUUUGGAAACAUAUGAGCUUUGUUAAGAAAAUAUACCGAGAUGGCUGACCAGUGUGCCCAAUAAUGCUGAAAGCAGGAGUGAUCUCUGCAAGAUACCUGGUGAUACUGGAGAGUGAUUAUGACAGCAGGGAGCGCAGUGCUGGCCAGUACAGGGGCACCUGUAAAGUGAGCUGAGGAUGAGAUGGAUUUACCACAAAAGACUUGGCGCUCUCGGUACAUACGUCAUCAGUGAGCUGCAGAUAAACUCAGCACACACAUCAGAGGAUGGAUGCGGAGGAGGACUGGGACUCUGAAAAUAGUGACACAGGUGAGGAGCUGUCAAAUGAUUCCAGAAAGAGCACUAAGGAGGUGGGCUACAAGGCUGGCCUCCAGGAGGAGGUGGGCAUGAAUUACUCACAGACACGCAGUCCUUGUCGCAACUCUGCAGGACCAUCAGAUAAACAGGAGCUUCCUACAAAGUCGCAGUGUGAAGACAAAGAAAUCUAUCAGACCUAUUACCAGAAACAAGGUGAGAGUACAGCUGGGAUAUUUGUCCCCUCCAAUACCAACUUGGACCUACAGUGUGAAGAUAAAACCUUACAACGCGGUUCCUCUGAGCACUCCAAGAGAUCACGGAGAAGAGCACGCGGUGAUAAUGAAAAUGCCCUUCUUGAUGGUGUGUUCGAUGCAGAGCCUGCAUCUGGGAAGGCUUUGUCGUGUCGGUGCAAGAAGUGUGGUGCUUCUUUCCAGGGCAUGAGUGAGCUGCAGCAGCAUAAACAGACUCACCUUGUGGAAAGCUCAUACCGCUGUCCUGUCUGUGCCAAAGAGUUCUUCCGUGCAGCAAACUUACGCAUGCACAAGCUCAUUCAUAGCAGUGACAGGCCACACAAGUGUCCAGAGUGUGACAAGGGUUUCAUUCGCACGGCUGAUGUCUGGAGGCACCUCCGCAAUGUGCACAAGAUAGAGCGCUCCAUGGUGAUCUUAGGAAAUGGCAUGGCUAGGAACCCGUGGUCCAUAGUGCACCGUAACCAGCACGCUGUUGAGUACACCGAUCAGCCCUGUGCAGAUAACCACAAGGCUGAGGAAGAAGACUGUAAGCCUUACGCCUGCCCAACGUGUGGCAAAGGUUUCGAUAAGCCUAACCUGCUUUCCAAACACAAGGUGAUCCACCGGCAGGAGAAACCCUAUAAAUGUCAGGAAUGUGGCAUGGCGUUCGUCCAGCUGCUCAGGCUGAAAAGACACCAGCAGACUCACUCUGGGGUGCGUCCCUUCUAUUGUGAGGAGUGUGGAGGGACGUUCACAAGGCUGGCCUCGCUCCAGCGCCAUCAGCGCAUCCACACUGGAGAGAAGCCUUACUCUUGUGAUUACUGUGGGCAUUCCUUCACUGAGUCAGGUACCCUACGGAGGCAUGAGCGCACACACAAGUUGGACAAAUCUUAGCUCUUUGUGAUUGUGGGCUCUCAGGUUCUUACCUGAAGGGGCUUGAGAAAAGCACUCUACUGUAUGCUCUACAGCCAGCGUAGACAUGCAUGCUAGAAGAGUGAAGCACAGGAACUUGUGCUGGUAGAACCUGCACUUUUGCUGGCUUUAAACUGCCUUCUUGUGAAUAACUGACUGAAUUACCACUGAGUAAUGAAAAGUGAGACUCGUGAAGACUGAAAUAGCUCACAUGUGCUAGCACUGUGUCACCACUGUGAAUGGGAGGUGCACCUGCUUGAGCUUUUUGCAAGGAUGCAUGAGCUAUGAGACUUCUCUCUGCAGUGCUGGUUGCUGGACAAAAUGGCUCUGCCCUCUGGAGUGUGAUGGGUAGUUGGCAGUGGCUCUGGAGGUCUGUUUGUUGCAGGUCUUUAAGUCAGAACAGUCCAUAGUCAUCCACGUAUCUGUUCUUGCAUUCUGCUGAGGUUUUUCUUUCCGUUAUGUAUUUUUAUUUGGAAGAAAAGUAUCAUGUUUGUUAUUUAAAAACAAAACAAAAAAACAACCCGCCCACAAAACAAUUCCUUAAUAAACAAGACAGUUGUCAGCUGUAUUUCAUAAAUGUUUCUAUCUAAAGGAGUACCAGUUCCUUACACAUCAUUAUGUUGUUUGUUAAUGGGCUGUUAGUAAGAGCUUUGUUUUUGCUGUGAUGGUGCACAUUCCUGAGGUGAGGGAUUUGAAUACAUUCAUGUUUAUGGAUGGAACCAUGCACUCAGAAUCUGCCCAGCUGAGUGCUGCAGUAGGAAAUGUUGGAGAACACAAAAUGCAGACGGCAGGAAAAAUGCCCAUCUUUAGCCACCUCUUCUGCUUGUUGCAUGGGAGCUGCCUUCAUUUAAAGGCUUUGGGAAUUAAGGAAGCUUCUCCUAACUAAACCAUGUUUUGUGCUGUGUGACAUGGUUGUGCACUGCUCAGAGUGGCUGCUGGACUCUUCACUUUCAUUUAGAUGCAGGUAAUGCGUGAAGAAAACUGUCUGCUGUGACUGCACAUUCAGGCAGAUGUUGUCACAUUCUCCCUGAGUAUUACUUUGGUAGAGGUAUGUAUUGCCAUUGUUACGGCAGUGGGGUUUGUAACUUUGAAACAUAAUCAUGAGGCUUACAAUAGCCUCUUGUUAACCACCAUGUUUGCACUUAAGUGCCAGCCCAGAUUUCCUUUGUGUCAGAAAGCUUUGCUUCCUUUCCCUGCCAGCUGCUGUGAUUUCACUAGUUUCUGCCUAAUGCAUUCUGUCUUUUCAGCAGGAGGCUGUGCAGCAGAGUGAAAGUAAAACUUCAGGGUAAUGUACCUUUACAUUUACUACCAGACUAUUUAAUGUAAAAUAGUGAUUGUGCCAUUUGUCUUGCAUCUUUCACAGGGUAAAAAUGGCUUGUGUUUCUGUGCAGAUGUGAAGUCCCAAGGCUCUGUGUGUAAGAGCUGUGUGCAGUGGUGCUGUUCCUGGGGUGAUGGCUGCUCAGCAGGCGUGCUGUACUCAUGGUUAGUGCAGCGUUUGAUGUGAGGUCCUUAGCUCAGAUCACGCUGUACCACUGUCCUCAGCAGCACUUCAGCUUGACUGCAGAAAGGAGACUAAUUCUCUUAGUCUCACUAGUGGAUUGCUUUGAUUUGAUUCAUCAAAGGAGUUUCCAGAUCAAGGAUCAGAUCUGCAUUCCUGUUCUUAGGAAUGUGUUGUGUUGUCUUUAAAAUGAUGUAACACAGAUACCUGUGCCAGGAUGGAUCAAGGCCCUGCAUACCAUGUGCAUUUAUUAGAGCCCUGAGUGAGACUUCUCCAAGCUAACCCCCCUGAAGGGAGUUCCAGUACUGAAAAGGCUUUUCAGAGACAGUCAGCAAAAGACUUCAUCUGAGGGCUGCCUGGUCUCUGUAAGGAAAGAUCUUCAAUGGAAACAGUUCUGCCUAAAAGUAAUGAUGGGCAAAUGACCUGCUGAGAGAGGCGCUGUUCUGUAGGGACUGUGUUGUAGUCUGAAGUGACCCAGAGAGGACAGCAAGGUGCAAAGCCACCCCAUGAGCCAUCAUACAUUAAGUACACAUCCUCCUCUAAACCCAUUUUGAUUUGUCAGCCACAGUCUCUCCAUUUUCAGCAUCCUGCUUUCCCUUGUUAUGCUGUGCUCUUGCUGUAGGGGGGUUUGAUAUCUCAUUAAGCUGUGCCAGUAUGCACACCUUUAUGCUGUGUGACUGUUCCGCUUAGGCAGUUGUGGUGAUUAGGAACAUCCAGUUAUUCUGCUGGUCGGGGUUAGCAGCCGGUGCAAUUUGUACCUGUAAAAGCAUAAUGGUGAAAGAGUUUUGAACAAAGGCCCGUUUAAUGGCAAAAGUAAAUGGCUGGUGAAAUGGAAACUACUAGGCUUAACUAAAAGCUUAUUAAAAAGAUACUUGCCUGGAAGGUUGACUUGGAUAUCAAGUGCUGGGAUGUGUGAAGGGAGUAAUUAAAGUGUGUGAUGAUUUCUGGGAGAAACCUGUUGAAUCCUCUGCAAAGAAACUUGCCCAAACUCCUGUACAAGCUGCAGGAAAUCCAUUGCAACUUAAUUUAGCCCAGAGAUUGUUCCUAUGCUUUCAAGCUUUAAUACAAGGGUUUGGAAGUCACCUGAGCCUCUCUCAGUGUGAGUUGCAAGCUCUUCUCAUCACCUGAUGGUGUUGGUGAGCAGUGGAAUGUAGAAAUACAGAGGUGGAGCAUGAUAGAAAGGAAAACUGUGUUUCUAUUGUGAUUUUUCCCUAGCAUACCUGCUUCAGUUCAAGCUGCCAGCACAGAUGCAAGACCCCAGGUCCUACUCGCUUCUAGAUACAUUCAGAUGCACACCUGUUGUAUGCUGUGUGUCUGCACAAAUACCUGCUCAGCACCACUGCAGUGCAUGUUGUUCCCUGGGUCCCUCCCAGAAGCACUUGCAUGCAGGAGCUUGGACAGGCUGGAGCAGAGCCAUGCAGACACUGGAGAAGUAUACGCCCCCCUGUGCUUCAUCGUGCUUAUGUGUAGGGCAAGGGGAUGCUUGUUCUAAAACCACAGUGAGCACUUUACUCCCUCCUGGAAGCUACCAGGUACUUGAGAAAAGCCAUUUUCUCCAACCCUCUGCUCCCUGUUCUUGGCCUGAGAGAGCAGCUUAUUGCUGUGAAAACACACAGUGCUUUGGGAAGGGGCUAUCCCAGGAUGGAGAGUGAAGAGUGCAGUUUUGCCAGCAGCUCCACAGGCUCUGCCCUGCACCAUGUGAAGCAGCCUUGGGAGCUCGUGCUGAAGGAGAGCAUCUGCUCCCAUGCUGCUGCAAGGCAGGAGAUGUGGGAGGAGGGCAGGUAUUGCUGGCUGCUAACUAUUUUCUGAAAUGAACACAAAAGGGAUCACAUCCAGAACCAGCACAGCCCUCAGAUGAUUCUUACUGUCCUUCUCCACACCCAUAUUCAUCAAUUCGAGAGGCUGUGAUGCCAAGCAGCAAUUCCCUAUGGUGCCACGAAGAAGAGCUGCUCUGCUAUAAGGCAGGGAAUAGGGCAAGCAGCCAGGACAUGGAGCCCCAGGGAGCUCUGGAGGCCUGUGGGCUGAAGUUCUCAUCCCUACAGCACAUGGAUAAGGCAUUACCAGGAUGGGUAAGAACCCAUUCAGCUCCAUGCAGAAGCCUGUCACCUUGACUUACAGCCCGGCUAUGGGAACAGUCCCUGCCAGCAGGUAAGCAGCUGGGAAUAGGAACCCACAGCUAUCAAUGGGCUGCCUCACUUCUCAUCAGGUGUACAGCCACUUAGAAAAGCACAGCGUAAAAACAUUUAACAAAUAGGGCUGGAAACCCGAUUCCUUCUCUAAAGGUUAAACUUCUGAACUGCAGGUAAUUAUCGCCGUUCUCCUCCCUUUGGUGACAUCUUUUAUCUUAAGCUGUGGAAACAAUAUGUAGGUGCUUGAAAGGUUAAAAUACAUCAAUGUCUCGUGCUGUGGCUCCCAGUUAAAAAAUAGCAUCGUUGUGUUUCCAGAUGAUUAAACCCAGGCCGGGGGGGGGGAGGUGGAGGUGGCUGGUGACACUCGGUGGGUGAAUCACUGGGAUUGCCACGGGCUCGCCCCAAGGCAGUUCAGGGCAUCGAUUUUUAGCUCAAAAUCAGCAUUGGGAGGGAUUGGAUGGGACAGGGGCUGCGUGGCGGGGUGUCCUGGCCUGCAGCGGGCAGCAGGUGGCAUUGUCGCCCAGCGAGUGCUGCUGGCAGCGCUGGGGACAGGGACAAUGUGAGCCCCUCGGCGGGUGGCACAGAGCCUCAGGCUGUGCUGGGUGGCCUGUAGGGAUGCUCCGUGGCUCUGAGCCCUUCGUGCAGGCAGCGGGGUGAGUGUGGGGGUGAGCAGGGGCACCCUGGUUCUGCCAGCAGCCCGCCUGCCGUGCCUCAAAAAUCCAUCCUACCAGGUGGAUUGGGACAGCUGGGGGAAACUGAGGCAGGGAACGUGCCUAGGAAUGGGCACUGUGUCCCCCAGUGGGGCCACCACGAGCUGUCCCCCAGGACUUUGUGCAGCUGUGUGCCAUAUCUGAUGGGACAAGAGCCAAUGCUGGAACAGUUUUUCCUUCUCUCCAAGCUGCUCUGUUUCAUCCUUUAUCAGGCAGGGCUGCUGAGCUCAGGGAAACGGGAGCUGCUUGUGGCUGGGGCAGGAUCCUGACGAGUUCUGCUGACUCCCCCAGGGUAUGUGCCUACACCAUCAGUAGUGUGGGCACCCUGGGUGCAGGUGGGAGCUGCUGGGUGCCGUAUCUCACCACGGGUGUUGUGAUGAAGGCGCCAGGUGGUGUUAGAAAAUGCUUUUUGGGUUGCUGUGCUGCUGGUCUCCUUGGCCUCCCCAUUAUCUGACUGCAGCAUGUUUGGGGUCAAGGUGUUCCUGAGAAGACGGGCGCUGAGCCACAUUUACCUGGGUUGUCCUCUGCUCCCUGAUCAAAGGCUUCAGACUGGCACAAGGCCACACUGCUGCUGAAACCCAAAGGCAUUUCUUCCAGCUGAGCACUCCUGAUUCAGCGUUUCAGCUGCCAGCGCUUUACAGCAGCUGUGAGAUAACUAGAAGACACAGCAGGGCACUCCUCUUGGCCAGGCAUCUCCUGAUCAGCACAGCACAGAGAUAGUGGCUGUGCACUCUCAGCACGCUGGGGGAAGAGGUGGGAUCAGCAAAAUAGAUGUGAGGGUCAUGGAGGUGGGGAGGGGUCCAGAUAAAAGCAUGAUGAAGCAGCAUCUGGUCAGUGCUCUCAGACAUAUGGUGGUUCUUCAUGGAGCCAGAAGCUUCAGCCUUGCAGUGGCCUUCCCUUGUAGCAGAGGUAGGGAAUAUGCAGGUUAUGCAGCCAGGAGACCAGUGUCAGCUCACAGCAGGCAAUGACUAUCUCCUGGACAUUGCCUGUGCCACGUAACCUUGCUGGGGGAUGGAGUGCUGCCACUGCUAUAAACCCCCGUCGGUCUCUGGUGUCAAUAGGCCUUAUCUCUAAAAGGCAGCCUUAUUAACAGGGAAUGAACUUUGCCACCCGUGGCGUGUUCUUGAAACCUGCCUUGAGGUUCUCCGUGCCCAAAUGAAAUGGGAGGGUUUAUGAGGAAAAGGAAAAUAGAGCAUUGCUCUGAGAGCAAGAUGAGCACCCACCAACCUCCUGUAUGACACAGAGGUUGCACCCAAGCCUGCAAAAUGUUAUAUAGAACCUGUUUGGGCCUUUAAUUAACUAAUGUCUGUCUUCGUGGUCCCAGCAGGCCCUCUGCAGCAAGAACAGCUGCUGGCUGGUGGCUUGGGAAGGACCAGGCAUCCAUUUUGCACCCCAUCUGCUUGUGAGGAGUGCUGGCCUGAACCAGGCCUCCCUGUGCAGCUGCUUCCCUGUGCUGCUGCAGGAAAAACAGCCCAUUUCUGCAUUGCUCUGUGCUCCUUCCUGCAAUAUGAGCUGCUAAGGGACCACAGAGGGCUGUGAGGGUGUCCCUGCAGCAAGACCGGGAUUGGGGUGAUGGAAAGACUGGGACUGAUGAAGGAAAAGAGGAGGCACUCAGCACAACGAGAGGCAAAUAUAGAUCAAACAGCAGGAAAUCCGCUCUCUGGCGGCACAGUAGAGCCACGCAGUGGAAAGCGCUGGUCCAGCAGGAGGUCAUCCAAGACAAACAUGGAGCUGCUUUGUGGGGCGGCCCGGCUGGCGGGCAGGAUGGGCAGGCGUUCUGCUUCACCGCCAUCCCUGCAGGAGGACAGGGAGGAGAUAUCCCAGCCUGUGAUAGGGAGGAGUCCUUCUCACCACCGUCUUCAGGCUGUACCUGGGGUUUGAGCCAGCCCCAGGCAAGCCGAUGCCCAAAGAAGCUGUGGAUUCCCCAUCCCUGGAGGUGCCCAAGGCCACAGAUGCGCCCUGGGCAGUCAGAUCUGAUGGGGGGCAGGCAGCCCUCAGCAGAGGGUGGGACUGAAUGGGCUCUGGAGUCCCUUCCAACCCAACCAUUCUGUGGUUCUACGAUUUCUAACUGGCAAAGGUGACAGCUCCCUGGGAACGUGCCUGGGCGUUCACUCGCUUAUGGAAAGCUUUAUCAAGAGAGUGAAGGUGAUUGUCCGGGCUUGUUGAUGUCCUCGAGAGAUAGCCUGCAGGGAGGCUUUCUGAAAGCCUGCAAUCUCAGCUAUUGCCCUUUGACAGCAGCAGAGAUAAAGAUGUAUGAACAUCCUGCUCAGGAAGCUCCUUCCUCCUCGGCUGUGGUUCCUUGGCUCUGAUAAAUGCAGGUGAAAUCUCUGCUCACUGCAGGCAGCCUGCUGUUUUGCUUCCAGCAAGCAGUCGUGCUUUGUCUUGGCAGCACUUUGAGUUUGAAUUACUUAGUGCCCAUUUGUCCCCUGCCUUGGGACAGUCCCUUGUGGUUGGUUAGGAAUCUUCUGACUUCCAACACAAGCGCAUCUGUGGCCGGCUUCUUGUUCAUUUGUUCUCAAGACAGAGGACAGUGCUGGCACAAACAGCUCUUCUCCCUGCCUGCACUCUUCGACGUUGAUUUGAAAUAGUCUUUCUUUGGCCUUGGGUUUCAGAGGGACAUGUUUCAAAACCAGAAAUAAACGGGCUUGAAAUAU